rnacentral:lncRNA from 10 species
GCAUUCUGAUUUACCACUCAGCUACCAGAGGAAGUAAAGAAUCAUUUAGUCUCCUGUUAAAGUCAUAAAAUUAUAAUUUUUACUGAAUAAAGCUGGCAUUAGCCAUUAUAUCUGCAAUCAAGUCAGAAAGAAAAGAGAAAGGAGAAUGCCAAGAUUGGGACACGAAGUCUUGCUUCUUCCUUAGUCAAAGAGAAAGCUGGGAAAGGUGGCAUCUGGCUUCCUGCCAAUUCAGUGAGCUGCUUUGUCCUAAAGGUACAGUUUUUAUUCAUGACAAGAUUCUCCAUGUCCACCUUUGAUUUGCCUCUUGUUUUGAAAGGACUGGUCAAACGUGUUUCUAUCAGUAAACUGCCAUGGUAUAGCUGAAGCAGUGGUGCUCAACACUGAUUACACAUUCGAAUCACCUUGAAAGCCCGAAAAACUAGGAAAGCCUGUGCCAAUCCACGGAGAUUCUGAUUUAAUUGGUGCGGAGUGCGACUCAGGCAUCAAGGUAUUCCUUGUUGUUGUUGUUGUUGUCGUUGUUUUGCUGCAUUUUGUUUAUUUAUUUAUUUUUGGUCCCUGGGUGAUUUUAAUGCUGCGCUUGAGUAGAAAACCACUGGCCUAGAUGAUUAAUAGGGGUACUAAUGGAGGGAAGGAAAAAGAG